GUCUAUGACCAUACCACCCUGAAAGCACCAGAUCUCAUCUGAUCUCGGAAGCUAAGCAGAGUUGGGCCUGGUUAGUACAUGGAUGGGAGACCAAACUUAUCAGUCCUUGAUCUCUGGUAGUCUAUGGCU
rnacentral:rRNA from 1 species